UCUCUGAUGGCUCAGAGGAUACAGCAUCUGCCUGCAAUGCAGGAGACCUGGGUUCAAUCCCUGGGUUAGGAA
rfam:TPA: Bos taurus chromosome 20, whole genome shotgun sequence.